GCCACUCAGAGGGAGAGGGACAGCUGACAACAACCACGACAAACAACACCCACAAAAUCAGGGAUGGACCAAUCUCUGUUCCUCAUCCUGUUGUUCUCAGGGCUGUCCAUCCUCCCCUCAU